GAUGAAGAACGUAGCGAAAUGCGAUAAGUAGUGUGAAUUGCAGAAUUCAGUGAAUCAUCGAAUCUUUGAACGCACAUUGCGCCCUUUGGUAUUCCAAAGGGCAUGCCUGUUCGAGCGUCAUUUGUACCCUCAAGCUUUGCUUGGUGUUGGGCGUCUUGUCUCUAGCUUUGCUGGAGACUCGCCUUAAAGUAAUUGGCAGCCGGCCUACUGGUUUCGGAGCGCAGCACAAGUCGCACUCUCUAUCAGCAAAGGUCUAGCAUCCAUUAAGCCUUUUUUUUCAACUUUUGACCUCGGAUCAGGUAGGGAUACCCGCUGAACUUUAGCAUAUCAAUAAGCGGAGGA
rnacentral:misc_RNA from 1 species